UACGUAGGGUGCAAGCGUUAAUCGGAAUUACUGGGCGUAAAGCGUGCGCAGGCGGCUUUGCAAGACAGAUGUGAAAUCCCCGGGCUUAACCUGGGAACUGCAUUUGAGACUGCAUGGCUGGAGUGCGGCAGAGGGGGAUGGAAUUCCGCGUGUAGCAGUGAAAUGCGUAGAUAUGCGGAGGAACACCGAUGGCGAAGGCAGUCCCCUGGGCCUGCACUGACGCUCAUGCACGAAAGCGUGGGGAGCAAACAGG
rnacentral:rRNA from 1 species